rnacentral:rRNA from 1 species
GAUGAACGCUGGCGGCGUGCCUAACACAUGCAAGUCGAGCGCGAUUAAGUGGAGUGGAGACUUCGGUCAAAGUGAAGCUUAUGAAAGCGGCGGACGGGUGAGUAACGCGUGGGCAACCUGCCCCAUACAGAGGGAUAGCCACUGGAAACGGUGAUUAAUACCUCAUAAGUCAGUAGCAUCGCAUGAUGUAGCUGACAAAGAUUUAUCGGUAUGGGAUGGGCCCGCGUCUGAUUAGCUAGUUGGUGAGGUAACGGCUCACCAAGGCGACGAUCAGUAGCCGACCUGAGAGGGUGAUCGGCCACACUGGAACUGAGACACGGUCCAGACUCCUACGGGAGGCAGCAGUGGGGAAUAUUGCACAAUGGGCGCAAGCCUGAUGCAGCAACGCCGCGUGAGUGAUGAAGGCCUUCGGGUUGUAAAACUCUGUCCUAUGGGAAGAAUCAAAUGACGGUACCAUAGGAGGAAGCCCCGGCUAACUACGUG